AGUUUGCACUUUAUCCCGUUGUGAUGCGGUUUGAACGGCAUCGUCUGGAUGAAAGCAUUACAUCAACAAGAUGUGACAACAAGAACGGAAGAGAGGGGAGAGAGAGAGCAAAAACAAAUGGAUGGCGGGCAUCACUGAAUCGUGGCUGACAAAAGUUUAUAGUUGGGUGCUUAAAUCCAAGGAUAAAUAUUGAAUCGAAAGGAUACGCAGACAGAGCCAAUGAAUCCCAACGAGAACAGAGUUACUCACGGGUGUAACACACUUGAUUUUCUAAUACCACUCAUGGCUGAAUAGGUCAGAUCUAGGACAAGACAAUCACUGUUUGUGAGCUCCAAGGAGAAUGACCUGAAAUGGAGUGUCCCUGUCUCUCAUUCGUCAGAUAUUCAGCAAGUUAGCAGAUUUUUGUUUGUUUGCCCUUUCCCUUUCAGGAAAUCCUAUUGAUCUUCUUCCCUUUCAGGACAACCUGUUGAUUUUUUGGGAUCAUGAGAUAUCAGCUAGUCACUAGAUUUAUUUUAUGUUUUGUGCUU